rnacentral:lncRNA from 10 species
AAUCUCCCAACUAGGACGGACCUGAGGCUGAUGUUAUCCUUCCCUGUUUAUGUUACGUUUGCCACUCGUAGCUUUCUUGUUUUCAACAAGAGGAUUUUCCACUAUCUGCUCCAAAUGCUGCAAGUUCUCCUCUAGCAGGGAGCAGAGCUUCCAGGCAUUAUGAUCUGUCCUGCCUGUCUGGAUGGAACUUCUGCUCCAUACUAUUGCUUUCACCAGACCCUGGAUUUCUUUUUCACUUCCUGUUCUGAGCCAUCGCCGGGCACUCAUUACCCACCAGCUGUGUCCCAGCUGCCGCAUUCUACACUAGAGGUGGCGCCCUGCACCCGGCGGAAAUGAAGAGAAUCAGACUACCCACCUUGGAUUCUGAUAUGAAAGAUUUAGGAUAAAAGAGCUACUCCAUCAGCCUGGAAAGAUGACUCACUGGCAAACUCUUAGAUAAAGCUAAACUUCACACCAAACUGCAAGAGAGUCUAAGAAUGAAGAGAAAACUGCUUUGGCAAGCAACUACCUAGUCUCUGACACAGUCCACCUUUUUGGUCAGCCAAUAUCCAGCUCCGCCUUGUCUUCUUACACAAAGCCCAGGCAAAGCCCAGGAUUGCUAACUGUUGUACAAACCUGUUGGUCAGGCCUAGAUGGAAGCUUUCAACCCCAUUUCAAGUCAGCUGGCUUAUCCAACCCUGAAAGGUCUGUGAUCUCUCAGUUCUUUUUAUAAACAGGCCUCUGCUUGCAAAUGGCCAAUUCUUGCCUGAGCUCAUCUCUUUCUUGUAAUACUUUAUGAAAGGCAGCCAGUAGUAACUAAUGCAUAAAUUUUUCCAACCAACUGGCCCAAAGGUCAGUAGACCUUUUUACCAAAUGUUUCGCAAUGUAUAGCAUGAAUCUCCAUCUUUCUCCUCUCUGUUAUCAGGUUCCUCAGUGCCCAACCAUUAUGUCAAUGCCUUUUACCUUAAUUUUUUUCUUAUGGCAACAUUUUCUUCUGGAAUUAUUUCUGUACUGUAGCAAAUGCCCUAAACUGUGUAAAACAGUUUGAAGACACUAUUUUUUUUUCUAUUUUUAUCAUUUGUUCCUCGGUCUACUCAAUACGCUCCCUGCUUAAAACUCCCCUAGUGAUUUUCUGUUGGGUUUAAAAUAGAGUCUAAACUCUUUACCAUGGAUUACAAGCUUCUCUGUUAACUGGUUGUAACCUGCAUUUCCAGCCUCCUUUGGCGCCACUCUUGUCCCACCAACUAUAUCACAUUUCCUUUGGAACAUUUUCUGCUUCUUGAACUUGCCCAGGUCCUUGCUGUUAGCUGGUCCCUUUGCCUAUGAUGAUCUUCCUUCUUAGCAUCACUUGAACUGCAAAAAAUAAAAAAUGAAACAAAAAACAA